AUACUCUGGUUUCUCUUCAGGUCAUAUAAAUCUUUCUCCUUUUACUAAAGAUUUCCGUGUUAGGAAGUGGAAAGACUUGGAAAAAAUUAUAUUAAGUGAAGUAAGCCAGGCCCAAAGAAACAUAGGUCCCAUGGUUUCCCU
rnacentral:snRNA from 1 species